rnacentral:rRNA from 1 species
UACGAAGGACCCGAGCGUUAUCCGGAUUUAUUGGGUUUAAAGGGUGCGUAGGCGGAUUAGUAAGUCAGUGGUGAAAGCCCAUCGCUUAACGGUGGAACUGCCAUUGAUACUGCUAGUCUUGAGUAUGGUUGAGGUGGGCGGAAUGUGUCAUGUAGCGGUGAAAUGCUUAGAUAUGACACAGAACACCAAUUGCGAAGGCAGCUCGCUAAGCCAUAACUGACGCU